rnacentral:rRNA from 2 species
GAUUUCUGGCUUGGCGCGCCUGGCCCGCCCUCUACCGAGGGUGAGUGCUGGUGUGCGCCUGCCAUCCUUCCGGAGGCCUGCUCUACCCUUAACUGGGCCGGAGUUAGGUGCCGGAUCUUUUACUUUGAAAAAAUUAGAGUGUUCAAAGCAGGCGUUUGCUGUGAAUACAUUAGCAUGGAAUAAUAAUUUAGGACUUUGGUUCUAUUUUGUUGGUUUCUAGGACUGAAGUAAUGAUUGAUAGGGAUAGUUGGGGGUGCUCGUAUUCAGUGGCCAGAGGUGAAAUUCUUGGAUUCACUGAAGACGAACUAAUGCGAAAGCAUU